CUGCAGCCAAUUAAGCCGACUGUGCUCUUUCCCCGUGGGGCCCAGUGUGCAUUGGCUGUGAACAGCAGCCUCCUUGGUAGGUAUGCAGCCUGUUGGUUGUAUGGGUUGCCCUAAGGGACCUUGGAGACAGUU
ensembl:snoRNA SNORA70 Small nucleolar RNA SNORA70